CAACAACAGCAAAAAACAGCCACAAAAAGCUAAACGGAAAUCCAUUGAAAAGCAGCAGCGGCAGCCACAGCAGCAGCAGCACAAUUUUGUCGUUAAUCAAAUUGAAACUUUGCGUUAGGGUUUGAAUUUUCGUCUUAGUCUUUUGAAUUAUUUACGUUCGUCAGAGCAGGAGGAGCAGAAUGAAGAAUAAUUACUGAAACAAUCGACAAGAGUUAUACGAUUUUAGGCGUACCAAUUAGCAUAUAACUCAGAUAGAGUGACGGAGGGAUAAUGGAAGGGAAGCGAAUACGGAAUGGAGGACAGAGUGAUACGGAGCGAUAGAUAGGGCAGCUAUAAAGAUGAGUAGAGAGCGGGAGUGAGUGAGUGAGAGAGGCGCUGAGCAAUUUGUUUUUUUCGGCAGCAGCUAAGUUUUGAUUUCGUUCUCCAGAUAUUUGUUGAAGUAUUCGAAUUUUUGUUAAAUGAAUAUGGACAAAAAGAAACCAACCCUUGUUAGAACCUUCUAAUUUCGUUUCAAUUGACAAUGUGAUUUUUGUAUAUGUAUGUAAAACGGCAAUCUAUCGUAUAAUUAAUUAUGCAAUACAACGAGCAGAAUAAGUUUUGUAGAAGGAAACCUUAGUGCAGUGAGCUUAGGCUUCAUUUGUUGUCUUCCCCCCACCCAACACUAAUUGUGUGUAGUUUCUGUUGAGUUAUUAUUUAGUACGAGUAAUUAGGCAUACGUUCUAAACCCAAAUAUGUCCACACACACACAACCACAGGCAGAGGUAGAGAAAGAGAAGAGCGGCGGGCAUGGGAUCCAAUUCAGAUGUGACUCUUCAGGUGCCAUAAAAUCAAACAAUAGUCAAAACAAAAAGAAAAGUUAAUAACUGAAAAACAGUAUCUGAAACAACACUAAACUAUCCCUAACAAAACUCCAACCCCCAACCCACUGUGUGGAUAUAGAUGACAAAUUUAGUUUCAUAUCAAAUUUUUCCAAUGUACCGUCAAAGCAUUUAUGAUUGUUAUUAAUCUUAUAGAGAGAAGGAUGGAAAUAUCGCAGAAAAUUAACUCUAGUUUAGUCGUUUCAACCCCUUUGCAAGUAUCUACUCAUUAUUUAAUACUACUUAGUGUUUAGCCAAUUAAGUUGAGAGAGAGAGAGAGAGAGAGAGAGAGGGAGAAGCAGAGAAAGUGCGCUCGGGCAUACGAUUUGUUUUCACUGUUUGUAGGCUUACAGCAGAAUUAUCAAUUAUGUUUGCAUAUUAUUAUUUAAUGAUUUCCAAAAUAAAACAAAAACACAAUUAUAUAUUUAUGAUUUGCCUUUUCAGUUUUUCUCCCCACCCAAUGUAUAGUUUGAAGGACAUUUUUUGGCAUUGAACACACGACAAUUUUUCGGCUUGGACAGGCGUCUGGUUUUUGUGAUACGAGUGGGGCUCCGUUAUGGCAAAAUGUUUCGGCAAACAAUGGGUUAAUGUGAAAUUGUACAUAGAAACGUUUCGAUAAAAAACAAAACAAAAACAAAAACAAAAACAAAAUUGAAAUUAAUUACGCACAAAAGUUUUAUAAAAUAGUUUGAGCAACAAUUGUUUGGCAUUGUAAGAGUUUUUAUGAACAUUAUGAACCCACUGCGGUUACGAUAAAGUUAGUCCAAAUUUUUAAACACCCCUUUAGGCACAUUGAAAACUCGAAAUCAAAAUUUGAAAGUAACACAAAGAAAAUAUUUGCAUGUUUUGGCACACAAUGGCAAAAAUAACAUCCAAAAAUUGAUGCGGUACGGUGCGAAGCCCGUGAUGUGGCGGCUUUUAUUGGAAUUACGACUAGACCAAAAGGGAAUUGGUCCGGACGAUCGCAACGGUCGGAAGGAUCAGGCAGCAUGAUUUGCUAUAAGAAAUACGAAACAAAUUUAACACUAAGCUAAAGCUCUACUCUAGCAUACUUUUAGGCCUUUUUAGACAAAAUUUUAAACAACAAUUCUUUCGGCUUUAAACGGAAAUCGAAAAUUGAAAAUUGAACGACGAACACAACAAAACAAAACACACACACAAAACACACACAAAAACCUUUUGGCUUUAAAUCAAAAUUAUGUUUAGUUCUUAGUUAAAGAAACUAAAAUGGAAUGAAACGAAAGAAAUUGAUGGGGAAAAUGUUUAUAUCAAAGUAAAUUAUGGCAAAUUAUGCUAUAAUUCCAAUAAAAGCAAAUAUUUAGACUGAAUGUCGCUGUGAUAAAUGCAAAGAAAAAACAAAAUGAAACGAAACGAAAACGAAAACCAAAAACCAAAACUAAAACAUAAAACUUUUGUACAUUUUUAGGCAUAAAAACAAAAUUUAAAGCAUACACUUAAUCAAAAAAACAAAACAAAAACCAAAAAAAAAACAUACUUUAGGCGCUAUAAAUUCUAGCAUAAAGACUAACCACAAAAUUUAUGAAACGCUCCACAAAAAAGAAAAGACUUUCCAUUUGAUUUCACAUUUUUCUUUAAUUUUAGUUUUAGUUUUUUAACAUUUUCCGUUUUCAUGUUCUAUUGAAGGAUCGGAUCGUUUUCGUAGUUGCAAACAAAAUUCAGAGAGAGGGGAGAGAGAAGAGUACGAAGAAAGCUCCAAGAAAAUGUGCAAACCAGAUGCUUCAGUGAAACCCAGGGACAAGGGAGAGAGAGAGAGAGAGAGCGGCUUCAGCUGAGGCGCAAGAGAGAAUACAGAAGAGCCCAAGAGCACACACCGGCCAUGACAUAACUAUAAUCGGGGUAUACAAGUACGCCCUGACACAAAGCAAAGCCUAGACAGACAAAGGGGCUAACCACCAGACGAAACCUAAAAUAUAAAAUAAUAAACCAGAACAGAACCAUACCAUAGGAGAGCCUUGACAGAUAGUUGGGGCAGAAAUACAUAUAGAAAACGAGCAGCAGCAACCCCUGCUCAGCGAUGGGAGGAAAGAUGAGAGACAGCAACAGAAACAAAGCAUUACAAGCAUACCUAACAACCAAACAAUAGCCCAAUUUAAAUAACCAAGAGUACAAAUACAAGUAAUUUUUAUAGCAGAAAUUUUAAUUGCAGUCUCAAAAAGCCAUAAUAAUUAAACAUAAGCAAACAAAUGUACUAUAAAAGCGAACAAACCACAAGCACACACCACACAAGCAACAAAGCAAAAGGCAUGAAUAUGAAUAGGAAACAUAAAAAACAAAAACUUUGAACAACACCAAAAUCAAGAAUGAACCAAAAUCAGAUGGGGAAAAACAAAAGCGAAAACUCGCAGCUCGAAAGCUCCAAACCAACUUGACAAACUCCAAAGAAAAACCACAAAGAAAAAUCCUUUCUUCUUAAAAAUUAAUAUAGUGAGAAAUUAUAAUAACAAAAGAAUAUAAUGAAUGUCAUGAUAAAAGAAAAGAUUAAGAAAGUGAAAGAAAGUUUCAGCAUAAUAACAAAUUAAUACACUUCCGGCUUACACUUCAGAUACAGUUACAGAUCCAAAUCCAGACAAGAAAUUCAUAUUAAAUGCCGAACAAAACAUACAAAAAAACAACAACAAAGAAUCAACAAACAAACUCCAAGGGGGACAAAGGGUGUGGCACGUGCCACAUCGCACAGAACCUGACGAGCGAAAUGCAUUAUAAUUGAGUACAGCCGCUUUCUGCAAUAGUGAUAAUAGUUUUUAAGUCAACCACCAAGCGUCAAAGCAAACCAUCAAACAACAAACAAACAAACAAACAAAUAAAUAAAACAAGCAACAAUUCGAGAGAGAAAAUCAAGUGAGGGAAUGAAACGGAUAGGAAAUAGGAGCAACGGUAAGCAUAAUACUAACGAUAAUGACAAUGAUAAUACCGCAUAAUGAUAAAACCAUAAUAUUAUAAAGCGAGAGAAUGCCCAUUGAACAGCUGUUUGAUUUGAUUUCAAAUUGGAAAGCAGAAACAGAGAAACGCAGGCAGCAGGCAGCAGGGAGACACAAGAUGCAUUUAAUUCAAAGUCUCCAAAACGAUUUUUAGUUGAAUUCGCAAAAUAUCAAACAAAUAAAAGAUGGAACGAAUACCAAAACGCAAAGGGGAACUACAAAUAUUUGAAUGGAAUAUUUGAAUCGCUCCCAGUACUUACACUCUAAAUAAAGCAAACAAAACCCAAAAAGCAAAACGCAAAAGCAAAAGCAAAAGCAAAACAAAUAUAGCAUUUAGUGCAUAUGUGGAAGAAAAACCCUAAACUCUUAUAUUAUAUUGUAUGGUGUAUUAUAUUUUUUAACGUAUUUAAUGCAUACUCUCUAUAUAUACGAUAUAUCUACUUAUAUUUGAAGUAACCUUCAACAGUUCGUGCAGCCGUGGGAAUAGGAAGAAUUGAACAGACCCGCAGUCUAUCCCCCAAAAUAUUACUGAAUAUCAGUUGUAAAAUAGCCCGAAGAAGAUAGUAUAAUAAUCUGUUGCCAUUCGAAAGAUGGAAGCGAAAAUCCGAAACAACAAUAGCCUCGUUAGUUUAUAACUCAGAUGAUCAAAGUUGAUGAAAUAUCAGUGAAAUAUCUCUAUACAAAAUAUUG